rnacentral:lncRNA from 1 species
UAGCCUAGAUAUCGCCGACAGGACAAUACUUUCAGCUCUUUUCUCCUGCCACUUCGUUGCAUGAAUAGUCAAAAUAAACAGAGCAGUGGAUGCAGUCAUUAUGGUGGCUCAUCUAUUUACCCACAUGGAACUUUAUAAUUUAAAUUUUCUUAUGACAUCUUCAUUAAGAAAUGUAGCUUUUCAUGAAGCUAAUAAUAUUUCACUUACAAUAAAAAAUUAUUGCUACCAGAUUGUAAUCUAUCAACUUUUACUUAUGGAUUGAAAUUAGAUGUCUUUGUAGCAAAAUUAAUUCAAUUUGGUAAUCAAAGGGGACCUCUAAACAAAAAAAAAAGAAAGAGGGAAUGCUUCUUUAUUUCUCAUUGACUGAGGGAGGCCAAGCAUACGUCACAUUCACAGCUUUUUGAAGCAUAUUGAGCUUGCCCUUCAUGUGAGGUAAAUGACACUUAAAAAAUAUCUGUUUGGAUCCCGGGAAAAGCUAAAGCUCUGGUGCCUCUGAAUCAUAAAACAGACUUAUUGAAGAGAAAGUAAGAAAGCAAGAAAUAAAAUAAUCCUCCCAAUAAAUCAGCUUUUCUUAACCACUGAGAAUAUUUUCUGGACACCAAUGUGUUUCUACAGAGAUGCCUGCUCAUGCGUCUAUCAAUUUUAUUAUUUAAUUAUAAAUUUUAAAAAAUAUUUUUUAAUAAUAUAUAUAUAUAUAUAUUUCAAAAAUUUUAGAAUCGUAGAGAAGCUAGAAAGGACAAGCAAGGAAGAAAAAACACGAGGAGGAAAAGGGAUGAAGAAAGUGGCGAGUGAUGAGACUGAAAAGAAAAGAAAAAUAGUAGAGAGCAGGAAUAAACCCCAUAGCCAUUUGGCGAGGACAGUGCACCCAUUAUUGUUAUGAGGAAAAAUUGUUUGGGGAUAGGGACUGACUGGUGACCAAGCAUCAAGCAUGCCUGCUGCCACUGUUUGGAUCUUCUUCUAGGGAUAGCUAUCAGUUAGUAUGAAAAUUACCCUGCUCAAUCUCCCAACUCCAUUGUAAUUUUUAAUUGAAAAAUACUUACAGGUUCAUGCAGACUCAUAAUAUAAGUAUACAUCAAAUUUUAUAUAUUUAUAUUAUAAAUUUAUAUGAAUUCAAUCUAAAUACUUAUUUUCAGUAUUUAAAUUUAUAUUAAAUUUCAUGUGGAUAAAACUUGUGGAGAAACUUUAGGGAACUUGCACGAUUGUUUCCCUCCAAGCUGAACGCUCUGCUACCAAUGCAUUUUUACAUCCCUAAGCUUCAAAACAUUAUUAAUUUAUCUAAACCAGUCAUAUACUUGAUUAUAAUAUCUGAAUUUGUUUAAUUUAUAUUUUUAAUUAAUAAUUUAUAUAAAAAAUUAUUUUUUUAUUAAUAGGUUUUGUUUUAAAAUUUUAAUUAUUUUAUUUUAAAAUUAGAAUAUCUAAAAAAUUUAUAAAUAUUAUCAUAGAAUAAUAUAAACAGAUUUUAAUAAUGCUUACCCAGCAUUCAAAUUUUGUAUGUAGCUCAAUUUUUUUUAUGGAUACUAAUUUCUAAAAUAAAAUUCUUUCAGAAAUAUUAGCGUAGCAGUUAGCUGUUAUAAUAUUAAAUAAUUAUUUGGCUGAAUCAAAAUGCUCAACAGCCGAAUAUAGCAUUCAUCUUCUAAGUGAACCUCUACACAAUUAGUUUGUUGUCUCUACUGAAAUUAUAUAGUCUUUAAUUAAUUCUAUAAAAUAAAGUUUUUAUAUUUUUGUAAUACUGAACCAAGCUAGACUAAACAUAAAAUUAGUAAUUGACUUCAGUUAUUUUAAUUAAAUACCAACUACACCAAAUUAUAUUAAAAAUUUAUUUUAAAAAUAAAAAGAAAAUUCCAAAUCACAAUUAUACAAUAAAAAAAGAUCAACCGUGAGGAAAGUGGAAGAAUUGGUGAGGGUGUGGGAGAUUUUAAGCUUGGAAAAGUGAGUGUGGCAGGAGAAGCUUGGUGGGUCUGAAAUUGAAAAUGAGAAUGCUGCAUCUUGAUACACAAUAAUACAAAUAGAUUAAGAAAAUAGAAGUAAAAAUAAAAUGAGAAUUUACGUAGAUAUUCAUAUCAAUAAUGUAUUGAAGAAAAAAUUACUACGGAUUUCUGAAUUUUAAUAAAAUUUAUUAGCUAAUUUUAAAAAUUAUAGAUCUAAUUAAAAUGUUCCUAAUAUUUUUAAAAUGUAACAAUUACAUCUUUAUGUUAAGAAUUUCGGUAAUCAAAAGGUAAAUUUAACGGUAAAAUGAGAGAGAAUACUUUAAAAUUACAAAAUUAAUCUCAGUACUCUUAUAAAAUUAAUCUUAUAUCCAAAUUCAUUCAAAUAUCCAGAUUCAUUCAUUCAUAAAAAUAGCAAUUGCAUCAAAACCAUAUUCAAUAGCAACUGCAUCAAAACCAUAUUCAUUCAUUGAGAUGGAAAGAAGACAUACUUAUCAAAAAGGAGCGGAAGAAACCUUAACAGAGGAAGGAAGCAGAAUGAGCAAUGAGGAGCGAGUUAGGAGAGAAGAGAAUCGUACGGUGGAGCGAGUUAAUAGCAACGAGUCGAGUCGAGCCGAGUCAUCAUCAUCAGAGUUGGUUGCUUUUUCAAUUGAGAUUGUAGCUGUUAAGGCGGUGGCGGUUGCUGAAGAAGCGGAGUCAUCGCUGGGGAAGAGUCAGCGAGUUGUUGUUGAUGGUAGAUUCCUUGCAUCAUCGACACUGUUGUUUCUACGGCUGUGGAUUUGCAUCUCUUUUUGCUCUGUUCAAUCCUCUAUGCGGUAUUUGACUUUUCUUUGCUUUCAUUUGUUGCUUUACUUGCUCUGUUUUAUCGCCGGAAAAUGAAAUCAGAGAACUAUAGUGUGGAAUGAGAGAACCACAGGGAGGGAGAGAGAAUAGUUUAUGCAUUUAGGGAUUAGGUGAUGGUAUUUGAUUUUUCAUGUGUAUUUGACGAAGUAUCUCAACGAUUAUUAUAUAAUUAUUACAUUUUAAAAAUAUAAAAAAUAUUUUAAUUAAAUCUAAAAAUUAAAAAAAUUAACUAAUAAAUUUCAUUAAAAUUUAAUGAUCUUAUAAUAAUUUUUUUCUCUAUUAAAAUAAAAUAAAUUAAACCUUUGUUUAAAAUAGAGUUUGUAUAAAAAUAUUAUUGUUUUAUGAAAUUAUCUAUAAUAAUAAUAAUAAUUUGAAAAAUAUAAUUAAAAAUAUUAUUCACUUUAAAUGGAGUCGAGAAUUUAAAUUUUUAAUGAGCCCACUUAGGGCGAAUAAAUAAUAAUAUUAAGUAUUUGAUGUUUUUAUUAGAAAAUCCAAUUCCACCAAGUUCCAACAGAAAACCAAAACCAAAAGCACCACAGCCUCCCUUACCGCUAGAAGAUGGCGAAUCACUUCUCCGAGUUGCCGCACCAGUCAAUCCUAUGCCCAUUCAUCCAAAGAAAAUAGCAUUCAUGUUUCUCACCUCUUUACUUUGCUCCACUAUGGGAACUUUACUUCAACCAAACUCAUAAACUACUCUUUAAUAUUAUAUAUCCAUGCAGAGCAGACCCAAGUUUUAACUAUGAACCGCCGUUUUCAGGCCUGUUAAUUUGCUCACCUAGUUAUGGGCCAUGCUCCCGGAGGUGAAGCUGAAGGAUUUCCGAAUUGGGUCGCAGUUUUGGGUACUCGAACGUAAGCACGCGAGGUUGGUCGUCGGCGACAAGAUGAUAUGGGCAAAAUUCAAGCAGCCAUGUGUGAGAGCGGACUCAUGUUACGCAGAGGAGAAUUACUUUUCUACUCUUAUCCACCUGUGGGACCUACAAGAUGCCACAUCAGCUACCUUGACACACGUCGACUGGAGGAAUCACACCAACGGUCACCCUCGGAUGUACAAGGCAAAUGAGGUGGGACCACUGUUGAUCAUGGGGGUUGAGAAACAGCAGACCCAGGCACGGUUAUGAUGAAAUCAACGGCAAAGAUUUGGUUGUGAGGCGACGAAAGGACCCAUUCUUGUUUGCAAGAAAAUUCUCUCUCGAGUCAGUCCCAGCGUUGUUGAG